GGCUUGUAGCUCAGUGGUUGAGCGCUUGCCUCGCAUGUAUGAGGCGUUGGGUUCGAUCCUCAGCACCA
rnacentral:tRNA from 1 species